rnacentral:rRNA from 1 species
GAACGCUGGCGGCAUGCCUUACACAUGCAAGUCGAACGCGAAAGUGGGGGCAACCCUGCGAGUAGAGUGGCGAACGGGUGAGUAACACAUCGGAACGUACCCAGGAGUGGGGGACAACCUCGAGAAAUCGAGGCUAAUACCGCAUACGUCCUGAGGGAGAAAGCGGGGGAUUCGCAAGGACCUCGCGCUCAUGGAGCGGCCGAUGUCGGAUUAGCUAGUUGGCGGGGUAAAAGCCCACCAAGGCUACGAUCCGUAGCUGGUUUGAGAGAACGACCAGCCACACUGGGACUGAGACACGGCCCAGACUCCUACGGGAGGCAGCAGUGGGGAAUUUUGGACAAUGGGGGCAACCCUGAUCCAGCCAUGCCGCGUGAGUGAAGAAGGCCUUCGGGUUGUAAAGCUCUUUCGGCCGGAACGAAAUCGCGUACGUGAAUAACGUGCGUGGAUGACGGUACUGGAAGAAGAAGCACCGGCUAACUACGUGUCAGCAGCCGCGGUAAUACGUAGGGUGCGAGCGUUAAUCGGAAUUACUGGGCGUAAAGCGUGCGCAGGCGGUUCUGCAAGUCAGAUGUGAAAUCCCCGGGCUUAACCUGGGAACUGCGUUUGAAACUACGGAGCUAGAGUACGGCAGAGGGGGGUGGAAUUCCACGUGUAGCAGUGAAAUGCGUAGAUAUGUGGAGGAACACCGAUGGCGAAGGCAGCCCCCUGGGCCGAUACUGACGCUCAGGCACGAAAGCGUGGGGAGCAAA